CAAAAGGGUGCCACAGGGGACCUGGAAACACAACACACUUCCUUUGUUCCCCUUGUGCAAUUUCCUACUGAGUCACUUCAGUUGCUCAACCUGAAGGACACUUAAGUAUAAUUACCAAGAAGGUACGCAGUCUCCCCAGAUGCAGUGGUGACACAAGCCCUCCUUUCACAAGUGCACACACAGGUCUGUUCUGUUUGCUUCGGGUUUUUCCACCACUAGUAACAUGACUCAGCUGGGUUCAGUGGCACGGAUGCCCUUGGAUGCACAGCAGCCCUGGUUUAUUUGUGGAUUCCAGACAUCAGCUUCGGUUAUUGAUUCCAUUUGAAGUUUCAGCUGGCAACCACCCACUCAGCACUGCAAAAUAAUUUGGGGCUUCCGGUGUGCUCUUCUCUUUCCUCUGACUUGACUGGAAAUGACUGUCAGCAUUUUCAAGAAAGAAGGCUGCAGUCGGGGCUGUAGAAUCGAAUCCGGUCUCCACCACCUAGAAACUCCGUGCCAGGUGCCUUGAUGGUUCUGCCUCGCUUAACCCACCAAAUGGGUCGCAGGAGCAGGUUGGCCCCAGCCAUCCCCUCUCUCAGAGAAGAGUCAAGCUACCACGUUUUAUGGAGCCUGUACCGCAGCUUCUUGUUUGUUUCCUUCCUUGCCCUUACCUCGAUUUGUAAUUCCUUUGGUAACUUUUAUGCUGCUGUUUGUUAUCUGUCUUCACCAUUUGAAUGUGAGCCCUCAACGCGGUGUCCCACCUUAUCACGGUGGCUGCAGCAUGAUGAAUAGUGGAGGGCUGAGUAAAAGAACCACAGUAAGAAAUAGUGUGGUGUGCGAGUCAGAGGCACAGGGGCGCAGAGGUUCAUAAUGUGGCCAUUCUUGGAGCCUCCAGUGCUAAUGCUGUGUCCAUCAGUCACUAGGAUCCUGGAUGGCACCAGAGGCAGAGAAGGAAAGGAGGGGGACUCUCCACCGCUGACUGUUCCUCCACACGCCUCUCCUCAUAUGCUCAUCUCCUAUCUCCUUCUCAAUAUCCCAAAGAACUAGCAAAUAAAACACUCAAAUAUUUCGUUCUCUGGGUCUGUUUUGUUUUUUAAAAGAUCUUAUAGGUUUUUGAAGAUUUGUAGAGGA
rnacentral:lncRNA from 1 species